rnacentral:rRNA from 1 species
GAUCCUGGCUCAGGACGAACGCUGGCGGCGUGCCUAACACAUGCAAGUCAAGGGGUAGCAAUACCACUGGCGGACGGGUGAGUAACGCGUAGGUCAUCUGCCUUUAUCCGGAACAUAACAUCGAGAAAUCGAUGCUAAUAUUCCAUGAGGCCCGCAAGGGUCAAAGCUUCACGGUGGAUAAAGAUGAGCCUGCGUCUGAUUAGCUUGUUGGUGAGGUAAUGGCUCACCAAGGCAUCGAUCAGUAGCUGGUCUGAGAGGACGAUCAGCCACACUGGAACUGAGACACGGUCCAGACUCCUACGGGAGGCAGCAGUGAGGAAUUUUGGUCAAUGGGCGAAAGCCUGAACCAGCGACGCCGCGUGCGGGAUGAAGGAGCUUUGCUUCGUAAACCGCUGUCGGGUGGGAAGAAAAGCAGGGUCGCCCUGCUGGGACUGUACCACAAAAGGAAGGAUCGGCUAACUACGUGCCAGCAGCCGCGGUAAUACGUAGGAUCCAAGCGUUGUCCGGAUUUACUGGGUGUAAAGCGUGCGCAGGCGGGCUUGUGCGUCAGAGGUUAAAGCCCCCGGCUCAACCGGGGAAAUGCCUUUGAUACGGCAAGUCUUGAGUACGAGAGAGGAUGGUAGAAUUCCUGGUGUAGCGGUGAAAUGCGUAGAUAUCAGGAGGAAUACCAGUGGCGAAGGCGGCCAUCUGGCUCGUUACUGACGCUCAGGCACGAAAGCGUGGGGAGCAAACAGGAUUAGAUACCCUGGUAGUCCACGCCCUAAACGAUGUAUGCUUGGUGUUGGGGCUUGCCCUCAGUGCCGGAGGUAACCCAUUAAGCAUACCACCUGGGGAGUACGAUCGCAAGGUUGAAACUCAAAGGAAUUGACGGGGGCCCGCACAAGCGGUGGAUCAUGUGGUUUAAUUCGAUGCAACGCGAAGAACCUUACCCGGGCUUGAAGUGCAGCGGACAGCUUUCGAAAGGGAGCCUCCUUCGGGCCGCUGCAGAGGUGCUGCAUGGCUGUCGUCAGCUCGUGCCGUGAGGUGUUGGGUUAAGUCCCGCAACGAGCGCAACCCCUAUCCUUAGUUGCCAUCGGGUAAUGCCGGGAACUCUAAGGAGACUGCCCACGCAAGUGGUGAGGAAGGUGGGGACGACGUCAAGUCAUCAUGGCCCUUAUGUCCGGGGCUACACACGUGAUACAAUGGCUGGUACAAUGGGCAAUACCGCGAGGUAGAGGAAAUCCCCAAAACCAGCCUCAGUUCGGAUUGUAGUCUGCAACUCGACUACAUGAAGCUGGAAUCGCUAGUAAUCGUAGAUCAGCUCGCUACGGUGAAUACGUUCCCGGGCCUUGUACACACCGCCCGUCAAGCCAUGGAAGUUGGGGGCGCCCGAAGCCGGUAGCAAUACCGUCGAAGGCGAACUCAGUGACUGGGGCUAAGUCGUAACAAGGUA